rnacentral:lncRNA from 1 species
GAGAAAAUUGUCCAAAAGAAGCCGGUGGAAAAAGUGCCGGGAAGUGGGCACACGCGUGCGGCGCGUGGAGGACAGGGGCGGCGCGUGGUCGGCGCGUGGCGGCGCGUGUGGCUGUUUCCGGCAACGAAAUUUGCAGGAAAUGUGCGCCUGGCACUGUGUGUCACGAUGGUGUGGGAGGUGAGUCAAAGAAAUCCCUGAGGGAUGUCGAAACACUGUCG